GUGGCUCAGUAUUUUAGUUCCCUCUCAACUCCGUUCAUGUAUCCCAUAAAUAUUUUUUAAAUGAUUCUAAGUCCCCAUUCUCAUAGAUCUUAUGUUUAGUAUAGGCCGCUGGUGUAUUCCAGACAGGAUAGAGUGGCAGCUUUGCCCAGGUAGGCGACAAGAGGGAGGUCACAAUGUGUACAUUGUGAUGACAUCUAUGGAGUAACUGGUGGCAUGGAGAACCCCACUGAGAGCUAAGCCUUCCUCCUGUGGGGAGGUUACGGGACCUGCCAUAAGUUAUCUCUCUGUCCCUGCAUCUGCCAUCCUAGGGCCAGCCAGAGUCCUCUUUGGAGGGCAUGAACUCAGCAAGUGGUUUUGGCAAAAUGUGGAAAAAGGUGUUCAAGGGGAUUCCCAGACUCUCAGUGAGCCAUUUCCAUUUCUACUGUGGGACUUGUACUUUGGUGGGGAACUCCAAGAUCCUGCGGGCCUCCGGCCUUGGCAACAAUAUCAACCAGUGGACCCUAGCCUUCAGAAUGAACCAGGGCCCUGUCCAGAGCAUUGAAAAGGUGGGGAACCAAACCAUAGGAUGCUUCAUCUAUCCUGGGAAUGCCAGCAGCCAGGGCUCUUGGAGACAGCUGCUGCUUCUGCUGCCGCUGCUGCUGAAGCUUUCUGGUCUGGUAUGGACUUCAGAUGCUCCAAGUGAGGAGGAUGCCUACUUUGGAUUUGGAUCAGAAAAGCAAAGAAAGGGGUGCAAUGACAGUUAAUCAGACCAAAGAUUACAAGGAGAUUUUGUCCAUACAGAGCAUGGAAGCAGAAAUGGAAGUCAGCUACAGUGUGUUGGGCAAGCUCACUGUCCACACGUGACACCCUGCAGAGUUCAUGCAAGUCCUAGUCCUUUGGACCUCAACAAAGCAGCAGUUUGUUUCUGUUUCUGAGACCAAAAAUUCCAACUAACACAGAUAACAAGGAUCAAACAUCACACUUCUGCCAACAGCACUGGAGUCUGGAAGAUGAUGGAACAUGCCAUCAGGCUCUGGAGCUACUUUUGCAACCUAGGAUCUUUUACACCCAGCCAAACUAUCAAUCAAGCCUAAGGACAUUGUGGUCUCCAGGGCUCCCAUAACAAAUUAGCACAAAAUAGGAUGAACCAGGCCCCUGUCCAAGGCUUUGAGAUGGAUGUGGGGAACAAAACCACCAUGCGCAUUAUGUACCCUGAGAUGGCUAGCACACAGGAUCCUGGCACCCAACUGCUGCUGCUUCCUCUGAAUUCAUCUGGUCUAAAGUGGUUUAUGGAAGUGCUGUGGGAACAGAGCUUCAGAAGCCCAGUAAACCCUGGAUUUCAGAUAGUCCAGGUCCCCAGUGGAAGUAACAAGAGCAAAGACAAGGUCUUGGUGAUCAGCCUCAACUUUCUCCAGUAUGUCCAGCAUUGUUGGCUGGGGAAACACAGUUGGUUUCCAUCCUUGGGGUUCGUGGGUUUGUUGUAUGCCCUGCACACAUGUGACCAGGCACUGAUGCCAGGAGACCUAACCCCAUUCCAGCUGGCCAAGGAGGAACUUUUCAGCUGAUCCCCACAGCAAAGCCCUGAGACCCACCCAUGCCAGUCCUGUGCUAUGCAAUGUGGAACUCGGGGAAUCUGAAGUCUUCACAAUAUGGAGUAUCCACUGAGGAGCACCACCUGUGCUCAGUGGGGGCAAGAAGGUGAGGGUGGUGAGCAGUGCCAGCCUGUGAGCCCCAAAGCCUUCCUGACUUCCUUUCCUAUCUCUGCAGAAUGAACCAGGCCCCAGUUUAGGUCCAGAGAACAACAAAGGCAACAAACAGAAUCUACCUGCACAUAAUGCACCUGAGAAUGCCCAUGACCUGGAGAGAAUAUCCACACACUGCUGGUGUUGUCGCAGCCACCAGAUAUAGGGUGAACUGUAGUGGUCGUGAGCCAAGGUGGAAAAGGGCAUCUUUUACCAGGUGGUGUGAGGGUGGAGGCCCCAGGCCUGGAGCAGACAGCCCUGGCUUUUUGGUGUAAAUGUUGAUCUUGUCGUCACUCUGCAGUGUGUGACUGUAUACUCCCCACCUCCCUAACCUACAACCAGUUUUUCCUUCUCUACUUCAUGCUUUUCUGCCUUCACGCUUCUACUAGUCCCGUGUAGGGAAGCAUAUGAGUCAAGGUAAUUAAAUUGUGCUCUGGUGAUCGUUGCUGUAACAUGCAAA